AGAGUUUGAUCCUGGCUCAGGACGAACGCUGGCGGCGUGCCUAAUACAUGCAAGUCGAACGAAGCUUUCUUUCACCGAAUGCUUGCACUCACCGAAAGAAGCUUAGUGGCGAACGGGUGAGUAACACGUAGGCAACCUGCCCAAAAGAGGGGGAUAACACUUGGAAACAGGUGCUAAUACCGCAUAACCAUGAACACCGCAUGAUGUUCAUGUAAAAGACGGCUUUUACUGUCACUUUUGGAUGGGCCUGCGGCGUAUUAACUUGUUGGUGGGGUAACGGCCUACCAAGGUGAUGAUACGUAGCCGAACUGAGAGGUUGAUCGGCCACAUUGGGACUGAGACACGGCCCAAACUCCUACGGGAGGCAGCAGUAGGGAAUCUUCCACAAUGGACGAAAGUCUGAUGGAGCAACGCCGCGUGAAUGAAGAAGGCCUUCGGGUCGUAAAACUCUGUUGUCAGAGAAGAACGUGCGUGAGAGUAACUGUUCACGUAUUGACGGUAUCUGACCAGAAAGCCACGGCUAACUACGUGCCAGCAGCCGCGGUAAUACGUAGGUGGCGAGCGUUGUCCGGAUUUAUUGGGCGUAAAGGGAACGCAGGCGGUCUUUUAAGUCUGAUGUGAAAGCCUUCGGCUUAACCGAAGUAGUGCAUUGGAAACUGGAAGACUUGAGUGCAGAAGAGGAGAGUGGAACUCCAUGUGUAGCGGUGAAAUGCGUAGAUAUAUGGAAGAACACCAGUGGCGAAAGCGGCUCUCUGGUCUGUAACUGACGCUGAGGUUCGAAAGCGUGGGUAGCAAACAGGAUUAGAUACCCUGGUAGUCCACGCCGUAAACGAUGAGUGCUAAGUGUUGGAGGGUUUCCGCCCUUCAGUGCUGCAGCUAACGCAUUAAGCACUCCGCCUGGGGAGUACGGUCGCAAGACUGAAACUCAAAGGAAUUGACGGGGGCCCGCACAAGCGGUGGAGUAUGUGGUUUAAUUCGGAGCAACGCGAAGAACCUUACCAGGUCUUGACAUCUUCUGACAAUUCCAGAGAUGGAACGUUCCCUUCGGGGACAGAAUGACAGGUGGUGCAUGGUUGUCGUCAGCUCGUGUCGUGAGAUGUUGGGUUAAGUCCCGCAACGAGCGCAACCCUUAUUGUCAGUUGCCAUCAUUAAGUUGGGCACUCUGGCGAGACUGCCGGUGACAAACCGGAGGAAGGUGGGGAUGACGUCAAAUCAUCAUGCCCCUUAUGACCUGGGCUACACACGUGCUACAAUGGACGGUACAACGAGUCACUAACUCGCGAGGGCAAGCUAAUCUCUUAAAGCCGUUCUCAGUUCGGAUUGCAGGCUGCAACUCGCCUGCAUGAAGUCGGAAUCGCUAGUAAUCGCGAAUCAGCAUGUCGCGGUGAAUACGUUCCCGGGCCUUGUACACACCGCCCGUCACACCAUGAGAGUUUGUAACACCCAAAGUCGGUGGGGUAACCUUUUGGAGCCAGCCGCCUAAGGUGGGACAGAUGAUUGGGGUGAAGUCGUAACAAGGUA
rnacentral:rRNA from 1 species